GACGAACGCUGGCGGCGUGCCUAAUACAUGCAAGUCGAGCGAAGUUUUUCUGGUGCUUGCACUAGAAAAACUUAGCGGCGAACGGGUGAGUAACACGUAAAGAACCUGCCUCAUAGACUGGGACAACUAUUGGAAACGAUAGCUAAUACCGGAUAACAGUAUUUCUCGCAUGAGAGAUAUUUAAAAGUUGGUUAUGCUAACACUAUGAGAUGGCUUUGCGGUGCAUUAGCUAGUUGGUGGGGUAAAGGCCCACCAAGGCGACGAUGCAUAGCCGACCUGAGAGGGUGAUCGGCCACACUGGGACUGAGACACGGCCCAGACUCCUACGGGAGGCAGCAGUAGGGAAUCUUCCGCAAUGGGCGAAAGCCUGACGGAGCAACGCCGCGUGAGUGAAGAAGGAUUUCGGUUCGUAAAGCUCUGUUGUUAGGGAAGAAUGGAUAUGUAGUAACUAGACAUGUAAGAGGCGGUACCUAACCAGAAAGCCACGGCUAACUACGUG
rnacentral:rRNA from 1 species